GUCCACGCUGUAAACGAUGAUUACUAGGUGUGGGGAGUGUUAGGCUUUCCGUGCCGGAGCAAACGCAAUAAGUAAUCCACCUGGGGAGUACGGCCGCAAGGCUGAAACUCAAAAGGAAUUGACGGGGGCCCGCACAAGCAGUGGAUUAUGUGGUUUAAUUCGAAGCAACGCGAAGAACCUUACCAGGUCUUGACAUCGGAUGCAUACCAUAGAGAUAUGGGAAGUCUUUCGGGACAUCCAGACAGGUGGUGCAUGGUUGUCGU
rnacentral:rRNA from 1 species